GACAACCUGGUUGAUCCUGCCAGUAUAUUAAAGUUGUUGCGGUUAUGACAACCUGGUUGAUCCUGCCAGUAGUCAUAUGCUUGUCUCAAAGAUUAAGCCAUGCAUGUCUCAGUACGAGCUAAAUUAAAGUGAAACCGCGAAAGGCUCAUUAAAUCAGUUAUGGUUCCUUAGAUCGUACCCACAAUUACUUGGAUAACUGUGGUAAUUCUAGAGCUAAUACAUGCAAACAGAGCUCCGACCGGAGACGGAAGGAGUGCUUUUAUUAGAUCAAAACCGAUCGGUGGCGGGUUCGCGCCCGUCAUCGUACAACCUGGUGGCUCUGAAUAACUUUACGCUGAUCGCACGGUCGUCGCACCGGCGACGCAUCUUUCAAAUGUCUGCCUUAUCAACUGUCGAUGGUAGGUUCUGCGCCUACCAUGGUCGUAACGGGUAACGGGGAAUCAGGGUUCGAUUCCGGAGAGGGAGCCUGAGAAACGGCUACCACAUCCAAGGAAGGCAGCAGGCGCGCAAAUUACCCACUCCCGGCACGGG
rnacentral:rRNA from 1 species